GCCUGGGUGGCUCAGUCGGUUGAGCGUCCGACUUCGGCUCAGGUCAUGAUCUCGCGGUCUGUGAGUUCAAGCCCCGCAUCAGGCU
rnacentral:tRNA from 1 species